rnacentral:rRNA from 1 species
UACGAAGGUCCCAAGCGUUAUCCGGAUUUAUUGGGUUUAAAGGGUGCGUAGGCGGGCUAUUAAGUCAGUGGUGAAAGCCCCAGCUUAACUUGGGAACUGCCAUUGAUACUGAUGGUCUUGAGUACAUUUGAGGUGGGCGGAAUGUGUCAUGUAGCGGUGAAAUGCUUAGAUAUGACACAGAACACCGAUUGCGAAGGCAGCUCACUAAACUGUAACUGACGCUGAGGCACGAAAGCGUGGGGAGCAAACAGG